CUGUUUGAGGCUGUCUGGAGACUUCAGAGGAGGUUGAUGAAGCUGUGAAGCUUCUUGAACUGAAGUUCAAAUGCUGUGUUGUUGUUGUUGUGGAGGCCGACAGGAGAAAUGUUGAUGUUGAUAAAGGCUGAUUUGGUGUUGAAGUAUCUGAAGCUGUGAGCAAGGAAACAAUCAGAAUAACAAUCCUGCUUGAAGCAGGUUUUCUGUCUGCAUGUGAGUAAUAGGGGUUAAUGUGUGUUUACAGCAACUCAUUAAACUAAACUUGUAGUGUGAAUAUGACACAUGUAGGUUAUUUGAAAGAAAAGUGGGUGUGGUCAGUGAGAAGUUCACAUCUUCACGGACAUGAAUAAGAUUUUUUAGCAGAGACUCACCUUCUGUGACAACAAUGUUAAAAUUGUCUGAAUUUGAACCCAAAGUACACAUGUACUGUCCCGAGUCAGACUUCUGUAGCUGUGUGAUGUUCACAUACACAAUAUUUGAUGAAAAAUAAUUUUUUUCAAAUUUAAUGCUGUAUCUGCCGCUCUGAGCUGUGUAACCAGUUGUUUCAAUGAGAACGUUUCCUGUUUCACAUUUUUCCUUGCAGAGUGACAUCGUGCUUCCAGAGAAAUAAAUCCGGCAUUCAGCUGUGAUGUUUCCUCCUUCCACUCCUUCAUAGACGGGAGUUUCAGCGUUGGCAAGUCCAGUGUUUCCAUCCUGCAGCCAUCUGUUGAAGAAAACUCAGCUCAGAGUGAAAAGCUUGAAAACUGACCUUUUAUUUGUUUGUGAUAAGAUCUUGAUCUGCUUUGAGGUUUUUGAAAUAGUGACUUAAUAUUCAGAGUUUUCAGCCUGUUAACAUUUAAGCUGUGCUGUUCCUCCUGAACUUAAUAAAAAGACAUAAAUAAGGUUGUUGCCUUACAAGCUCUAAAUGUGGUUUAGUGGCUUUAUAGAGAAGAAAGCAGCUCUCUGAACACAAACGAGCUGCUGUCCGUCUGAAAGCAGCUGCUAACCAGGCUUCCCUGCCCUCGGUUACCAUGGACAUCGUUCAGUCAGGAACAAAGUGGAUGAGCUUCGUGGGAACAUUCACCUCCAGGAGGAGACCGCUGCAGUUUAACUUCCACAGAGACGCGGCUGACAAGCCAAGACCAGGAGGAUUUUUUUUAAUCAGAGUAUUUGGAUUACAUUUUAUUCUGGACCGAAAGCCAAAAGUGACUCGAGGAAUGAAAACAUACUGUGGGUGAGGUUAGGUAAUUCUGUGAAAUACGGCGGAUGUUGAACGUUUAUCAGUAUCGAUGCGUCCUUUUAUCUGCUCCGUGAGAACAGUGGUGGACAUUCACUCACAGACAACCGCUGCUUCUGCUUUCCGCACUGUUUCUGAUGUAGUGCAAAACCUGCAAACAUCUUUAUGAAUAAGAAAUAAGAAGAAUUUACUUACAGAGGAAGAUGGAGCAGAGCAAAAUGUGACAGAGUUUCAUCUCGAGGUUCUGACGGCUUAAUGUUUAAUGCUGCUUCUCUUUCUUCUCUGUUUGCAAACCAGGAACUUCAAAUUUUGUGGUCCCUCCUUCAAAC
ensembl:lncRNA